GUUGGUUUAACUCAGUGGCAGAGUUCAGGCUUUGUAUGCAUGAUGUCCUGGGUUCAAUCCCCAGCUUCUCCC